rnacentral:rRNA from 1 species
AGAGUUUGAUCAUGGCUCAGAGUGAACGCUGGCGGCGUGCUUAACACAUGCAAGUCGAACGGAUGAAAUAAGCUUGCUUAUUUCGUUAGUGGCGCACGGGUGAGUAAUGUAUAGCUAACCUGCCCUUUAGUGGGGGACAACAGUUGGAAACGACUGCUAAUACCCCAUACUCCAGCCUAUCAAAAGGUAGGUUGGGAAAGAUUUAUUGCUAAAGGAUGGGGCUUUAUGGUAUCAGCUAGUUGGUGGGGUAACGGCCUACCAAGGCAAUGACGCCUACCCUGGUCUGAGAGGAUGAUCAGGCACACUGGAACUGAGACACGGUCCAGACUCCUACGGGAGGCAGCAGUGGGGAAUAUUGCACAAUGGGGGAAACCCUGAUGCAAGCAACGCCGCGUGGAGGAUGACGCAUUUCGGUGUGUAAACUCCUUUUAUAAGGGAAGAUAAUGACGGUACCUUAUGAAUAAGCACCGGCUAACUCCGUGCCAGCAGCAGC